rnacentral:rRNA from 1 species
GACGAACGCUGGCGGCGUGCUUAACACAUGCAAGUCGUACGGUAAGGCCCUUUCGGGGGUACACGAGUGGCGAACGGGUGAGUAACACGUGAGUAACCUGCCCACAACUUUGGGAUAACGCUAGGAAACUGGUGCUAAUACUGGAUAUGUGCUCCUGCUGCAUGGUGGGGGUUGGAAAGCUCCGGCGGUUGUGGAUGGACUCGCGGCCUAUCAGCUUGUUGGUGGGGUAGUGGCCUACCAAGGCGGCGACGGGUAGCCGGCCUGAGAGGGUGACCGGCCACAUUGGGACUGAGAUACGGCCCAGACUCCUACGGGAGGCAGCAGUGGGGAAUAUUGCACAAUGGGCGCAAGCCUGAUGCAGCAACGCCGCGUGCGGGAUGACGGCCUUCGGGUUGUAAACCGCUUUCAGCAGGGACGAAGCUUUUUGUGACGGUAUCUGCAGAAGAAGCACCGGCUAACUACGUG